UACCAGCACCCCGAGUGGUCGGGACGUUUAUUGGGCCUAAAGCAUCCGUAGCCGGUUCUACAAGCCUUCCGUUAAAUCCACCUGCUCAACAGAUGGGCUGCGGAAGAUACUAUGGAGCUAGGAGGCGGGAGAGGCAAGCGGUACUCGAUGGGUAGGGGUAAAAUCCGUUGAUCCAUUGAAGACCACCAGUGGCGAAGGCGGCUUGCCAGAACGCGCUCGACGGUGAGGGAUGAAAGCUGGGGGAGCAAACCGG
rnacentral:rRNA from 1 species